rnacentral:lncRNA from 1 species
GCUGCUGGUUUGAGUUGUUUCUGGCGUUUCUGCACUUGCAACUGAAGUGGAUUCUUUAAAUUUGGUUUGAGAUCCUUUCUUUGCCUUUGAUGAAGUUUUCGACCUUAUAGCAGCAAGUUCUGAUUCAAUAUCUAUCACAUCAACAACCCCAUCACCCCUGGCUACCGCACAUAUAUUUCCCGAGUUGUCGAGCAUGUCGGUGUCUGGAACUACUAUUGAGUGGACAAAAGCAGGAUUGAGACACUGUGAUGUGUUACUACUGCUCGUCGCAGCAUCAGGCAUACCAAAAUCGACAAUUUUGAUUGGCCGCCCUUUUGAAAAGUCCCACAUGAUGAGCUUUGAGUCGAGACCUCCAGUGAUGACUGCC